AAUUCAGUUUAGGGUUUUAAAACCUUAAUGCUGACUGAAUGGAAAGAGUUCAGUUUAGGGUUUAAAACCCUAAUGCUGACUGAGUGGAAAAAGUUCAGUUUAGGGUUUAAAACCCUAAUGCUGACUGAGUGGAAAAAGUUCAGUUUAAGGUUUAAAUCCCUAAUACUGACUGAAUGGAAAAAGUUCAGUUUAGGGUUUAAAACCCUAAUGCUGACCAAAGGAAAGAGUUCAGUUUAGGGUUUAAAACCCUAAUGCUGACUAAAUGGAAAAGUUCAGUUUAGGGUUUAAAACCCUAAUACUGACUAAAGGAAAGAGUUCAGUUUUGGGGUUUAACACCCUAAUGCUGACUGAAUGGAAAAAGUUCAGUUUAGGGUUUAAAACCCUAAAGCUGACUAAAUGGAAAAAGUUCAGUUUAGGGUUUAAAACCAAAAUGCUGACUAAAUGAAAAGA
rnacentral:lncRNA from 1 species